AUUGAACGCUGGCGGCAUGCUUUACACAUGCAAGUCAAACGGCAGCGCGGGCUUCGGCCUGGCGGCGAGUGGCGAACGGGUGAGUAAUGCAUCGGAACGUGCCCAGUAGUGGGGGAUAGCCCGGCGAAAGCCGGAUUAAUACCGCAUACGACCUGAGGGUGAAAGCGGGGGACCGAAAGGCCUCGCGCCAUUGGAGCGGCCGAUGUCGGAUUAGCUAGUUGGUGGGGUAAAGGCUUACCAAGGCGACGAUCCGUAGCUGGUCUGAGAGGACGACCAGCCACACUGGGACUGAGACACGGCCCAGACUCCUACGGGAGGCAGCAGUGGGGAAUUUUGGACAAUGGGGGCAACCCUGAUCCAGCCAUGCCGCGUGCGGGAAGAAGGCCUUCGGGUUGUAAACCGCUUUUGUUCGGGAAGAAAUCCUCUGGGCUAAUACCCCGGGGGGAUGACGGUACCGGAAGAAUAAGCACCGGCUAACUACGUG
rnacentral:rRNA from 1 species